rnacentral:rRNA from 1 species
GAUGAACGCUAGCGGGAGGCCUAACACAUGCAAGCCGAGCGGUAUUGUUUCUUCGGAAAUGAGAGAGCGGCGUACGGGUGCGGAACACGUGUGCAACCUGCCUUUAUCUGGGGGAUAGCCUUUCGAAAGGAAGAUUAAUACUCCAUAAUAUAUUGAACGGCAUCGUUUAAUAUUGAAAGCUCCGGCGGAUAGAGAUGGGCACGCGCAAGAUUAGCUAGUUGGUGAGGUAACGGCUCACCAAGGCGAUGAUCUUUAGGGGGCCUGAGAGGGUGAUCCCCCACACUGGUACUGAGACACGGACCAGACUCCUACGGGAGGCAGCAGUGAGGAAUAUUGGUCAAUGGGUGCAAGCCUGAACCAGCCAUCCCGCGUGAAGGACGACUGCCCUAUGGGUUGUAAACUUCUUUUGUAUAGGGAUAAACCUACCCUCGUGAGGGUAGCUGAAGGUAUUAUACGAAUAAGCACCGGCUAACUCCGUGCCAGCAGCCGCGGUAAUACGGAGGGUGCAAGCGUUAUCCGGAUUUAUUGGGUUUAAAGGGUCCGUAGGCGGACUUAUAAGUCAGUGGUGAAAGCCUGUCGCUUAACGAUAGAACUGCCAUUGAUACUGUAAGUCUUGAGUAUAUUUGAGGUAGCUGGAAUAAGUAGUGUAGCGGUGAAAUGCAUAGAUAUUACUUAGAACACCAAUUGCGAAGGCAGGUUACCAAGAUAUAACUGACGCUGAGGGACGAAAGCGUGGGGAGCGAACAGGAUUAGAUACCCUGGUAGUCCACGCCGUAAACGAUGCUAACUCGUUUUUGGGCUUUAGGGUUCAGAGACCAAGCGAAAGUGAUAAGUUAGCCACCUGGGGAGUGCGCUCGCAAGAGUGAAACUCAAAGGGAUUGACGGGGGCCCGCACAAGCGGUGGAUUAUGUGGUUUAAUUCGAUGAUACGCGAGGAACCUUACCAAGACUUAAAUGGGAAUUGACAGCUUUAGAAAUAGAGCUUUCUUCGGACAAUUUUCAAGGUGCUGCAUGGUUGUCGUCAGCUCGUGCCGUGAGGUGUUAGGUUAAGUCCUGCAACGAGCGCAACCCCUGUCACUAGUUGCCAUCAUUCAGUUGGGGACUCUAGUGAGACUGCCUACGCAAGUAGAGAGGAAGGUGGGGAUGACGUCAAAUCAUCACGGCCCUUACGUCUUGGGCCACACACGUAAUACAAUGGCCGGUACAGAGGGCAGCUACACAGCGAUGUGAUGCAAAUCUCGAAAGCCGGUCUCAGUUCGGAUUGGAGUCUGCAACUCGACUCUAUGAAGCUGGAAUCGCUAGUAAUCGCGCAUCAGCCAUGGCGCGGUGAAUACGUUCCCGGGCCU